UACAGAGGGUGCAAGCGUUGCUCGGAAUCAUUGGGCGUAAAGGGCAAGUAGGUGGUCUCAUUUGUCUAGGGUGAAAUCCUUGAGCUUAACUCAAGAAGUGCCCUAGAAACGGUGAGACUCGAGUACUGGAGAGGGUCGUGGAAUUCCCGGUGUAGCGGUGAAAUGCGUAGAGAUCGGGAGGAACACCAGAGGCGAAGGCGGCGACCUGGACCGGCAUUGACGCUGAGGCGCGAAAGCCAGGGGAGCAAACGGG
rnacentral:rRNA from 1 species